rnacentral:rRNA from 1 species
AGCCAGCAGCCGCGGUAAUACGGAAGGUGCGAGCGUUGUUCGGAAUUACUGGGCGUAAAGGGCGCGUAGGCGGAUUCGUAAGUCGAUUGUGAAAUCCCCGGGCUUAACCUGGGACUUGCAGUCGAAACUACGAACCUUGAAUGUCAGAGAGGGUGGGGGAAUUCCUGGUGUAGAAGUGAAAUUCGUAGAUAUCAGGAGGAACACCGGAGGCGAAGGCGCCUACCUGGCUGUGCAUUGACGCUGAGGCGCGAAAGCGUGGGGAGCAAACAGGAUUAGAUACCCUGGUAGUCCACGCCAUAAACGAUGGAUACUAGGUGUUCGAAGUGUUAACCCUUUGAGUACCGAAGUUCACGCAUUAAGUAUCCCGCCUGGGGAGUACGGUCGCAAGGCUAAAACUCAAAAGAAUUGACGGGGGCCCGCACAAGC